UAAACUAUCAAAAAAUACAAAUAAUGGCUUUUGGCAAGAAACAGAAGUCUAGAACCUGGACCAUUGAUGGCCAUUUGAUUGAACAGUGCACAUUGCCCACACAGCAGAUAUUAGGCAAAAGUCGGUUCACAAUAUACUUAGAUUUCUUUGAACUAAGGGUGGACAUUACAUCCCUGCUACCCUAA